ACUACGGGAGGCAGCAGUGAGGAAUAUUGGUCAAUGGGAGAGAUCCUGAACCAGCCAAGCCGCGUGAGGGAAGACGGCCCUAUGGGUUGUAAACCUCUUUUGUCGGAGAACAAAACCCGGGACGUGUCCCGGACUUCGUGUAUCCGAAGAAAAAGCAUCGGCUAACUCCGUGCCAGCAGCCGCGGUAAUACGGAGGAUGCGAGCGUUAUCCGGAUUUAUUGGGGUUAAAGGGUGCGUGGGCGGUCCGUUAAGUCAGCGGGAAAAUUGCGGGGCUCAACCCCGUCGGGCCGUUGAAACUGGCAGACUUGAGUUGGCGAGAAGUACGCGGAAUGCGCGGUGUAGCGGUGAAAUGCAGAGAUAUCGCGCAGAACUCCGAUUGCGAAGGCAGCGUACCGGCGCCAGACUGACGCUGAGGCACGAAAGCGUGGGGAGCAAACAGGAUUAGAUACCCCUGUAGUC
rnacentral:rRNA from 1 species